rnacentral:lncRNA from 1 species
CAAAAGAAGAAACAAAAGAAGAAGAAGCAGAUGAAGCAUUGUUAGGAUCCGACGUUGGAAAGGUAGAUGAAGUACUAACAACUGGUGUUGAAGAGAAAGAUGAAGAAGUAUUAGUAUCAGAUGUUGAUACGAUAUACAAGUCAUUAUUCGAAGGAGAUGUUAAAGAGGAAGAUAAGAAAAUUUUAGAAGCAGAUGUUAAAGAGGAUACUGAAAAAACAUUAGAAUCGGAUGUUGAUGAGGCAGAUAAAAUAUUAUUAGGAUCCGACGUUGGAAAGGUCGAUAAGGUAUUAGAAUCAGAUAUAGAAGAGAAAGAAACAACAAUACCAGAUGAAGAUGCUAAAGAAACACCAGAAGCAGACGUUGAAGAAGAAGAAGAAGAAGAUAAAGUAUCAGAAUCAGAUGUUGAAAAAGCAGAUAAAGUAUCAGAAUCAGAUAUGGAAACAGUAUAUAAAGAACCAGAAUCAGAUGUUGAAGAGGCAGAUAAAAUAUCAGAAUCAGUUAUGGAAGAGGCAGUUGAAGAAGUGUUAAAAUCAGAUGUUGAAAAUGCAGAUAAAGUAUCAGAAUCAGAUGUUAAAGAAGCAGAUAAAAUAUCAGAAUUAGAUGUGGAAACAGUAUAUAAAGAACCAGAAUCAGAUGGUGAAGAGGCAGAUAAAAUAUCAGAAUCAGAUGUGGAAACAGUAUAUAAAGAACCAGAAUCAGAUGUUGAAGAGGCAGAUAAAGUAUCAGAAUCAGAUGUGGAAACAGUAUAUAAAGAACCAGAAUCAGAUGUUGAAGAGGCAGAUAAAAUAUCAGAAUCAGUUAUGGAAGAGGCAGUUGAAGAAGUGUUAGAAUCAGAUGUUGAAAAUGCAGAUAAAGUAUCAGAAUCAGAUGUUAAAGAAGCAGAUAAAAUAUCAGAAUUAGAUGUGGAAACAGUAUAUAAAGAACCAGAAUCAGAUAUUGAAGAGGCAGAUAAAAUAUCAGAAUCAGAUGUGGAAACAGUAUAUAAAGAACCAGAAUCAGAUGGUGAAGAGGCAGAUAAAAUAUCAGAAUCAGAUGUGGAAACAGUAUAUAAAGAAGCAGAAUCAGAUGUUGAAGAGGCAGAUAAAGUAUCAGAAUUAUAUGUGGAAACAGUAUAUAAAGAACCAGAAUCAGAUGUUGAAGAGGCAGAUAAAGUAUCAGAAUCAGUUAUGGAAAAGGCAGUUGAAGAAGUGUUAGAAUCAGAUAUUGAAGAGGCAGAUAAAAUAUCAGAAUCAGAUGUGGAAACAGUAUAUAAAGAACCAGAAUCAGAUGUUGAAGAGGCAGAUAAAGUAUCAGAAUUAGAUGUGGAAACAGUAUAUAAAGAACCAGAAUCAGAUGUUGAAGAGGCAGAUAAAGUAUCAGAAUUAGAUGUGGAAACAGUAUAUAAAGAACC